AUGCCUGUAUCAGUGUCCGUACAUCAAACUUGGCUUUCUUCCUUCCGUGUAGUCGGUGGAGGAUGUGCCAGAUGUGAAGUGUCUUGCGGUUUUUGUGCCUUCGGGCCGUGGCUGCGAGUCCUUUGA
rnacentral:rRNA from 2 species